GACGGAGGGUGCUAGCGUUGUUCGGAAUUACUGGGCGUAAAGAGCGCGCAGGCGGUCGUUCAAGUCGAGUGUGAAAGCCCCCGGCUCAACUGGGGAGGGUCACUCGAUACUGAUCGACUUGAAGGCGGGAGAGGGAAGCGGAAUUCCCGGUGUAGUGGUGAAAUGCGUAGAUAUCGGGAGGAACACCAGUGGCGAAGGCGGCGACCUGGACAGAUAUUGACGCUGAGGUGCGAAAGCGUGGGGAGCAAACAGG
rnacentral:rRNA from 1 species